GGUUUGUAAACUUUUCGACACAAAAAUAAUGUUCACCUCGGAAUCAAAAAAGUAUUUACCUGUGCAUUUGUAUACAAAUAGAAUACCUAUAGGAUUUGUUGGCACUAGCCGAAGCACUAUUACGUCGAUUACCUACCUGACAGCGUUUAGCAUUGAUCAAGAUGGAUGAAACCACGACACCAAGGAAGAAAACUUCACCACGAUUUCUACUUCGAAUUACAGCCUACUUUAAUCAAAAGCUUUACUUCAAACGACGUCAGGAUUAAGAUUUCAGUGAAGUCGGAAACCAUGGACAAGCUAUAUUUACAUAGUUUUAAAUAUGCCGAUCACAUUUUCAUUCACGACUGGCAAAAAAGACCCCCUCUGUUAACACCUGAAGGGAAUCAAGUCGGUGGAGCCGCACAAGUUAGUUGACGGAGUUUACGGAAUAUUGCACCACCAGAAAUAACAGUUCAAGGGAGUCUUCGUACUACCAUCAUUACAGCCGGCACAGCUCCCCGGAUGUCGCACAACUUAGUUCAUCUAUUGCAUUUGCACCAGUCCCAGUUGCAUUAAUUCUGGGUAUACCAAUAGCUAAUCAAUUAUUCGAAUCAACCGGAAAUCGAUGUCCUACGCCUCGGGACCUCAACGAAUGCUGUCAAACUUGGACCGAGAUACUCGAUGAAGCAAAAGCGCUCCCAAUACACGCAUAGACUACCAAAAAUGAACUGAGAUCCGGUGAAGCUUCCAAUGAGGAAAAUAGCGGAUCAUUGGAACCACUGCUAUGCUGGAUGUCAAAAAGUUUAGUUGCCGCCAGAGCAGAUACAGUAACAUUUACAGCAACAACAUAGCGGCCAAAGCAAUGAGCUGAAAUACUAGGACCGAGGGAAAAGUAUCCGGGUUUGAACCUGCCUACAGCAGUUGAGCAUUUUGCAGUUGUAGACGGUUGGAGUUAUUGUCCUACCAAUUUCAGCACGCUGCCUGUUGACAUUGAAUUUGGAUAUUCAACAAUUAUUCCAAACACAGAUUUGCAAGCAGUGCAGCAUUUUAGCAUU